ACGCUCGACACCUACGGGGGCAGCAGUGGGGAAUAUUGGGCAAUGGGCGCAAGCCUGACCCAGCAACGCCGCGUGAAGGAAGAAGGCUUUCGGGUUGUAAACUUCUUUUGUCAGGGAACAGUAGAAGAGGGUACCUGACGAAUAAGCCACGGCUAACUACGUGUCAGCAGCCGCGGUAAUCUGAGCGGGCUGGCAAGGC
rnacentral:rRNA from 1 species